UUGAACGCUGGCGGCAUGCCUUACACAUGCAAGUCGAACGGCAGCACGGGUGCUUGCACCUGGUGGCGAGUGGCGAACGGGUGAGUAAUACAUCGGAACAUGUCCUGUAGUGGGGGAUAGCCCGGCGAAAGCCGGAUUAAUACCGCAUACGAUCUACGGAUGAAAGCGGGGGACCUUCGGGCCUCGCGCUAUAGGGUUGGCCGAUGGCUGAUUAGCUAGUUGGUGGGGUAAAGGCCUACCAAGGCGACGAUCAGUAGCUGGUCUGAGAGGACGACCAGCCACACUGGGACUGAGACACGGCCCAGACUCCUACGGGAGGCAGCAGUGGGGAAUUUUGGACAAUGGGCGAAAGCCUGAUCCAGCAAUGCCGCGUGUGUGAAGAAGGCCUUCGGGUUGUAAAGCACCUUUGUCCGGAAAGAAAUCCUUGGCCCUAAUACGGUCGGGGGAUGACGGUACCGGAAGAAUAAGCACCGGCUAACUACGUG
rnacentral:rRNA from 1 species